CUGGACCGUUUUUUGAAAUUCUUUCAAUUUUUUUGUCAAUUACACAUGUGUAAGAACUGUAUGAAUAUACUUUUGUCCAAUUUUAUUAUCAUAUUUUUUUAUAUAUUUUUUUUAAUUGUGCAUAAGGAUUUUUUUGUGGGCCAAAUGACGUAAGAAAUUUGACAUGCUCAAAAAUCCUGCAGAAAUGCAAAAUUGACUGGCCUGAUGAACUCGGGAUGGCCGGGCAGUGAUAGUUGUUCCUUUCCAUCACUCGUUGUGUUGACUUCAUCAUGUCCAUUUUGUGAUGUUUUUUCACUAUAUAAUCAUAUUGCAAGUGCACGUGCAUUUGCAAUAUGUUUCAAUGUGCAUUUACCAUAUGAAAUUUGACCUUGCUCAAAAAUGCAAAAUUGACUGGUCUGAUGAACACAGGAUGGCCGAGCAGUGAUAGUUGUACAUUUCCAUCACUCGUUGUGUUGAUUUCAUCAUCUCCGUUAGGUGAUGUUUUUACACUAUAGAAUCAUAUUGCAAAUGCACGUGCAUUGUUGUGCAACUGGUAACCCAAAAAUAAAAAUAUGGUUGUAAAUGCAUUUACCGGUCAUUCUGAUAUUAAUGCUCGCUAUGGGAACACAGGAUGGCCGGGCAGUGAUAGUUGUACAUUUCCAUCACUCGUUGUGUUGAUUUCAUCAUGUCCAUUAGGUGAUGUUUUUACACUAUAGAAUCAUAUUGCAAGUGCGCGCGCAUUUGCAAUAUGUUUCAAUGUGCAUUUACCAUAUGAAAUUUGAAAUGCUCAAAAAUGCAAAAUUGACUGGUCUGAUGGACACAGGAUGGCCGAGCAGUGAUAGUUGUACAUUUCCAUCACUCGUUGUGUUGAUUUCAUCAUGUCCAUUUGUUUAUGUUUUCUCACUUUUGCAAAGUCACUGUGCAUUUGCAAUAUGGUUCAAUGGGCAGGUACCAUCACGAAUUUGUCAUGCUAUAAAAAUCCUGCAGGAAUGUGAAAUUGACUGGUCUGAUGAACACAGGAUGGCCGAGCAGUGAUAGUUGUACAUUUCCAUCACUUGUUGUGUUGAUUUCAUCAUGUCCAUUAGGUGAUGUUUUUUCACUAUAGAAUCAUAUUGCAAAUGCACGUGCAUUGUUGUGCAACUGGUAACCCAAAAAUUAAAAUAUGGUUGUAAAUGCA